rnacentral:rRNA from 1 species
AUUGAACGCUGGCGGCAGGCCUAACACAUGCAAGUCGAGCGGUAGCACAGAGAGCUUGCUCUCGGGUGACGAGCGGCGGACGGGUGAGUAAUGUCUGGGAAACUGCCUGAUGGAGGGGGAUAACUACUGGAAACGGUAGCUAAUACCGCAUAACGUCGCAAGACCAAAGUGGGGGACCUUCGGGCCUCAUGCCAUCAGAUGUGCCCAGAUGGGAUUAGCUAGUAGGUGGGGUAACGGCUCACCUAGGCGACGAUCCCUAGCUGGUCUGAGAGGAUGACCAGCCACACUGGAACUGAGACACGGUCCAGACUCCUACGGGAGGCAGCAGUGGGGAAUAUUGCACAAUGGGCGCAAGCCUGAUGCAGCCAUGCCGCGUGUGUGAAGAAGGCCUUCGGGUUGUAAAGCACUUUCAGCGGGGAGGAAGGCGGUGAGGUUAAUAACCUCAUCGAUUGACGUUACCCGCAGAAGAAGCACCGGCUAACUCCGUGCCAGCAGCCGCGGUAAUACGGAGGGUGCAAGCGUUAAUCGGAAUUACUGGGCGUAAAGCGCACGCAGGCGGUCUGUCAAGUCGGAUGUGAAAUCCCCGGGCUCAACCUGGGAACUGCAUUCGAAACUGGCAGGCUAGAGUCUUGUAGAGGGGGGUAGAAUUCCAGGUGUAGCGGUGAAAUGCGUAGAGAUCUGGAGGAAUACCGGUGGCGAAGGCGGCCCCCUGGACAAAGACUGACGCUCAGGUGCGAAAGCGUGGGGAGCAAACAGGAUUAGAUACCCUGGUAGUCCACGCCGUAAACGAUGUCGAUUUGGAGGUUGUGCCCUUGAGGCGUGGCUUCCGGAGCUAACGCGUUAAAUCGACCGCCUGGGGAGUACGGCCGCAAGGUUAAAACUCAAAUGAAUUGACGGGGGCCCGCACAAGCGGUGGAGCAUGUGGUUUAAUUCGAUGCAACGCGAAGAACCUUACCUGGUCUUGACAUCCACAGAACUUUCCAGAGAUGGAUUGGUGCCUUCGGGAACUGUGAGACAGGUGCUGCAUGGCUGUCGUCAGCUCGUGUUGUGAAAUGUUGGGUUAAGUCCCGCAACGAGCGCAACCCUUAUCCUUUGUUGCCGGCGGUCCGGCCGGGAACUCAAAGGAGACUGCCAGUGAUAAACUGGAGGAAGGUGGGGAUGACGUCAAGUCAUCAUGGCCCUUACGACCAGGGCUACACACGUGCUACAAUGGCAUAUACAAAGAGAAGCGACCUCGCGAGAGCAAGCGGACCUCAUAAAGUAUGUCGUAGUCCGGAUUGGAGUCUGCAACUCGACUCCAUGAAGUCGGAAUCGCUAGUAAUCGUAGAUCAGAAUGCUACGGUGAAUACGUUCCCGGGCCUUGUACACACCGCCCGUCACACCAUGGGAGUGGGUUGCAAAAGAAGUAGGUAGCUUAACCUUCGGGAGGGCGCUUACCACUUUGUGAUUCAUGACUGGGGUGA